rnacentral:rRNA from 1 species
UUGCUGACGAGUGGCGCACGGGUGCGUAACGCGUAUACAAUCUACCUCUUACUGGGGAAUAGCCUUUGGAAACGAAGAAUAAUACCCCAUAGUAUCUAAAUUUCGCAUGUUAUUUAGAUUAAAGCCUCGGCGGUAAGAGAUGAGUAUGCGUUCUAUUAGCUAGAUGGUGUGGUAACGGCACACCAUGGCAACGAUAGAUAGGGGCCCUGAGAGGGGGAUCCCCCACACUGGUACUGAGACACGGACCAGACUCCUACGGGAGGCAGCAGUGAGGAAUAUUGGACAAUGGGCGAAAGCCUGAUCCAGCCAUGCCGCGUGCAGGAAGACUGCCCUAUGGGUUGUAAACUGCUUUUAUACGGGAAGAAACCCAUCUACGUGUAGGUGGCUGACGGUACCGUAAGAAUAAGCAUCGGCUAACUCCGUGCCAGCAGCCGCGGUAAUACGGAGGAUGCAAGCGUUAUCCGGAAUCAUUGGGUUUAAAGGGUCCGUAGGUGGAUUAGUAAGUCAGAGGUGAAAGCCUGCAGCUCAACUGUAGAACUGCCUUUGAUACUGCUAGUCUUGAAUUAUUGUGAAGUGGUUAGAAUAUGUAGUGUAGCGGUGAAAUGCAUAGAUAUUACAUAGAAUACCGAUUGCGAAGGCAGAUCACUAACAAUAUAUUGACACUGAUGGACGAAAGCGUGGGGAGCGAACGGGAUUAGAUACCCCGGUAGUCCACGCCGUAAACGAUGGUCACUAGCUGUUCGGAUUUCGGUCUGAGUGGCUAAGCGAAAGUGAUAAGUGACCCACCUGGGGAGUACGUUCGCAAGAAUGAAACUCAAAGGAAUUGACGGGGGCCCGCACAAGCGGUGGAGCAUGUGGUUUAAUUCGAUGAUACGCGAGGAACCUUACCAGGGCUUAAAUGUAGAGUGACAG